rnacentral:rRNA from 1 species
GAUGAACGCUGGCGGCGUGCCUAAUACAUGCAAGUCGAGCGAACAGACGAGGAGCUUGCUCCUCUGACGUUAGCGGCGGACGGGUGAGUAACACGUGGAUAACCUACCUAUAAGACUGGGAUAACUUCGGGAAACCGGAGCUAAUACCGGAUAAUAUAUUGAACCGCAUGGUUCAAUAGUGAAUGACGGUUUUGCUGUCACUUAUAGAUGGAUCCGCGCCGCAUUAGCUAGUUGGUAAGGUAACGGCUUACCAAGGCAACGAUGCGUAGCCGACCUGAGAGGGUGAUCGGCCACACGGGAACUGGGACGCGGUCCAGACUCCUACGGGAGGCAGCAGUAGGGAAUCUUCCGCAAUGGGCGAAAGCCUGACGGAACAACGCCGCGUGAGUGAUGAAGGUCUUCGGAGCGGAAAACUCUGUUAUUAGGGAAGAACAAAUGUGUAAGUAACUAUGCACGUCUUGACGGUACCUAAUCAGAAAGCCACGGCUAACUACGUG